rnacentral:rRNA from 1 species
UACGGAGGAUGCAAGCGUUAUCCGGAAUGAUUGGGCGUAAAGCGUCCGCAGGUGGCUGUGUAAGUCUGCUGUCAAAGAGCAAAGCUCAACUUUGUAAAGGCAGUGGAAACUACACGGCUAGAGUGCGUUCGGGGCAGAGGGAAUUCCUGGUGUAGCGGCGAGAUGCGUAGAGAUCAGGAAGAACACCGGUGGCGAAGGCGCUCUGCUAGGCCGCAACUGACACUGAGGGACGAAAGCUAGGGGAGCGAAUGGG